CCAACGGCCCUUUUAAGGGCCACCAAAUUAUCCUGAGAGCAGUCGU
rfam:Folsomia candida strain VT population Fcan01_Sc007, whole genome shotgun sequence.